rnacentral:rRNA from 1 species
CUGCUUACACAUGCAAGUCGUACGGGCAGGGCAACCUGUCAGUGGCGGACGGGUGAGUAACGCGUAGGAAUCUAUCCUUGGGUGGGGGACAACCGUGGGAAACUACGGCUAAUACCGCAUGAUCCCUGAGGGGCAAAGGCGAAAGUCGCCUAAGGAGGAGCCUGCGUCUGAUUAGGUAGUCGGUGGGGUAAAGGCCUACCAAGCCUGCGAUCAGUAGCUGGUCUGAGAGGAUGAUCAGCCACACUGGGACUGAGACACGGGCCAGACUCCUACGGGAGGCAGCAGUGAGGAAUAUUGCGCAAUGGGGGCAACCCUGACGCAGCAACGCCGCGUGUGGGAAGAAGGCUUUCGGGUUGUAAACCACUUUUGCCCGGGACGAAAGGGGGGACCUGAAUAAGGUUGCCCGAUGACGGUACCGGGAGAAUAAGCCACGGCUAACUCUGUGCCAGCAGCCGCGGUAAGACAGAGGUGGCAAGCGUUGUUCGGAGUUACUGGGCGUAAAGAGUCUGUAGGUGGUCUGUCAAGUCUUUGGUGAAAGGCCGUGGCUUAACCAUGGGAAUGCCAAAGAGACUGGCAGACUGGGAGGCUGGGAGAGGGAAGCGGAAUUUCUGGUGUAGCGGUGAAAUGCGUAGAUAUCAGAAGGAAGGCCGGUGGCGAAGGCGGCUUCCUGGAACAGACCUGACACUGAGAGACGAAAGCGUGGGGAGCAAACAGGAUUAGAUACCCUGGUAGUCCACGCCCUAAACGAUGGGUACUAAGUGUGGGAGGGUUAAAC